GAUGAACGCUGGCGGCGUGCCUAACACAUGCAAGUCGAGCGCUUUACUUCGGUAAAGAGCGGCGGACGGGUGAGUAACGCGUGGGUAAUCUGCCCUGUACACACGGAUAACAUACCGAAAGGUAUGCUAAUACGAGAUAAUAUACUUUUAUCGCAUGGUAGAAGUAUCAAAGCUCCGGCGGUACAGGAUGGACCCGCGUCUGAUUAGCUAGUUGGUAAGGUAACGGCUUACCAAGGCGACGAUCAGUAGCCGACCUGAGAGGGUGAUCGGCCACAUUGGAGCUGAGACACGGUCCAAACUCCUACGGGAGGCAGCAGUGGGGAAUAUUGCACAAUGGGCGAAAGCCUGAUGCAGCAACGCCGCGUGAGCGAUGAAGGCCUUCGGGUCGUAAAGCUCUGUCCUCAAGGAAGAUAAUGACGGUACUUGAGGAGGAAGCCCCGGCUAACUACGUGCCAGCCGCCGCGGUAA
rnacentral:rRNA from 1 species